UACGAAGGGGCUAGCGUUGCUCGGAAUCACUGGGCGUAAAGGGUGCGUAGGCGGGUCUUUAAGUCAGGGGUGAAUCCUGGAGCUCAACUCCAGAACUGCCUUUGAUACUGAAGAUCUUGAGUUCGGGAGAGGUGAGUGGAACUGCGAGUGUAGAGGUGAAAAUUCGUAGAUAUUCGCAAGAACACCAGUGGCGAAGGCGCUCACUGGCCCGAUACUGACGCUGAGGCACGAAAGCGUGGG
rnacentral:rRNA from 1 species